rnacentral:rRNA from 1 species
GACGAACGCUGGCGGCGUGCUUAACACAUGCAAGUCGACGUGAGUGGCGGACGGGUGAGUAAUACGUGGGUAACCUGCCCUCCUUUUUGCGAUAAGCCUUGGAAACGGGGUCUAAUACCUAAUAUAGGGGGAUGGGCUCGGGGCCUAUCGGCUGGUUGGUGGGGUGAUGGCCUACCAAGGCGUUGACGGGUAGACGGCCUGAGAGGGUAACCGGCAACUUGGAGACGGAGAUAAGGCCCAUGCUAGUCAGCGGGGGAGAAGUGGGGGCAAUGGCACAAUGGGCGAAAGCCUGAUGCAGCGAGUCUGAGUGGGGGAUUAGGGCUUUAGGGUUGUAAACGUGUGGAGCUAUCGAACGGUUAGGUGGAGAAGAAGCGCCGGCUAACUACGUGCCAGCAGCCGCGGUAAUUC